rnacentral:rRNA from 1 species
AUGGAAAUGUACGACAAAAAACUUGUCAUGGCAGAUGUCCACCAAAGAUUGCUUUGCUUCGAGUACAUACCUCAAGGAAGUCUUGAUAAGUAUAUCAUCGAUCCAUAUCGUGAGUGGGGAACCUGCUAUAAAAUAAUCAGAGGGGUUUGUGAAGGUCUACAGUACCUUCAUGAGAAUAAUAUUGUUCACUUGGAUCUCAAACCCGCCAAUAUACUGCUCGGCAAUAACAUGAUACCAAAAAUUACUGAUUUUGGGCUGUCAAGAUGCUUCGACGAUAAUCAGAGCCGACAUAUUACCAGAACUAUAUUAGGAACAAUUGGAUAUUUGGCACCAGAACUUCGUGAAGGGGGUGUAAUCUCACGCAGUGCUGACUUGUAUAGCCUCGGUGUUAUAAUCAUUGAAAUACUGACCGGCCAGAAGGGGUAUCAAGCUAUUGGUGAUGUACUUGAAAGUUGGAGUGGUAGGUUGGAGGGAUCACAACAAGACACACAAAACGAACAAAUACGAGUAUGCUAUGAGACAGCUUUAGAAUGCAGAGACUUCAAUCCAAAAAAGAGACCAGCUUGCGUACGGAAUAUAAUUGAUAGGUGUUAUGAAAAGGGAAGUAUCCAGGAUCAGGAGUCUCAUGACCCUAGCGGCUUGAGGUACAUCGGUGGCGACCCUGCUCCUCGGGGCCCCGCCGGCCAGGACAUGUCAACCAUCGUGUCUAGGGACCAAUUCGAGCGGCUCCUACCCCAUCGCAAUGACGCGGUGUGUCCUGCCCGUGGGUUUUACACAUAUGACGCCUUCAUCACCGCAGCCGACGCGUUCCCGUCCUUUGGCACGACGGGAAGCAUAGAUACACGGAAGCAGGAGGUCACUGGCGGAGCUAGGCAACAUCUUUUGGGGGGGCCGAACACAAAUAUGAGUAUUUGGGGGGGGCCAAAAGACUCUACUUUUCCUAAUCUUCCAUUAAAAAAAAAUUCCUUCACACAUUUUACCAAAGUUGGGGGGGCCAUGGCACCUGCAGCUUACCAUGUAGCUCCGCCACUGCAGGAGGUGGCAGCCUUCUUAGCCCAGACCUCCCACGAGACCAGUGGUGGGUGGCCCACUGCGCCGGACGGCCCCUUCUCGUGGGGCUACUGCUUCAAGGAGGAGGCAGGCCCACGUCCGAGCUACUGUGUCCCAUCGUCCAAGUGGCCGUGCACGCCCGGCAAGCAGUACUAUGGCCGCGGUCCCAUGCAGCUCUCCUAG